rnacentral:rRNA from 1 species
UACGGGGGGGGGCAAGCGUUUGUUCGGAAUUACUGGGCGUAAAGGGCUCGUAGGCGGCCAACUAAGUCAGACGUGAAAUCCCCAGGCUCAACCUGGGAACUGCGUCUGAUACUGGAUGGCUUGAAUUCGGGAGAGGGAUGCAGAAUUCCAGGUGUAGCGGUGAAAUGCGUAGAUAUCUGGAGGAAUACCGGUGGCGAAGGCGGCAUCCUGGACCGACAUUGACGCUGAGGAGCGAAAGCUAGGGGAGCAAACGGGG